rnacentral:tRNA from 1 species
GUCUCCGUGGCGCAAUGGAUAGCGGGUUGGACUGCUAAUUCAAAAGUUGCGGGUUCGAAUCCCGCCGCAGAUG